GGGCUUGUGGUUUAGUGGUAUAAUACUCCCUUAGCAAGUCUUUGUAUCAUUGCAAUUGACUGGGAGUGGUCCAGGGUUCGAUUCCCUGCAAGUCCA
rnacentral:tRNA from 1 species